rfam:Cryptococcus pinus CBS 10737 unplaced genomic scaffold supercont1.4, whole genome shotgun sequence.
UCUUCUAUAGUACAGCGGUUAGUAUAUCCGCCUUUCAUGAUUGAUCGCGGGAGAUCGGGGUUCGAUUCCCCGUGGGAGAA